GCGGAGGAAAAGAAACCAACAGGGAUUGCCUCAGUAACGGCGAGUGAAGCGGCAACAGCUCAAAUUUGAAAUCUGGUCCCCUCUGGGGGCCCGAGUUGUAAUUUGAAGAGGAUGCUUUUGGCGAGGCGCCGUCCGAGUUCCCUGGAACGGGACGCCGCAGAGGGUGAGAGCCCCGUACGGUCGGACGCCGAGCCUCUGUAAAGCUCCUUCGACGAGUCGAGUAGUUUGGGAAUGCUGCUCAAAAUGGGAGGUAAACCCCUUCUAAAGCUAAAUACCGGCCAGAGACCGAUAGCGCACAAGUAGAGUGAUCGAAAGAUGAAAAGCACUUUGAAAAGAGAGUUAAAAAGCACGUGAAAUUGUUAAAAGGGAAGCGCUUGCGACCAGACUUGCGCCCGUCGGAUCAACCGUCGCUUGCGGCGGCGCACUCCGGCGGGCUCAGGCCAGCAUCAGUUCGCUCGGGGGGAGAAAGGCGGCGGGAAUGUAGCUCCUCGGAGUGUUAUAGCCCGCCGUGUAAUACCCUCGGGUGGACUGAGGACCGCGCGUUGC
rnacentral:rRNA from 1 species